rnacentral:misc_RNA from 1 species
GAAAUGCGAUAAGUAAUGUGAAUUGCAGAAUUCAGUGAACCAUCGAAUCUUUGAACGCACAUUGCGCCCGCCAGUAUUCUGGCGGGCAUGCCUGUUCGAGCGUCAUUUCAACCAUCAAGCCCCCGGCUUGUGUUGGGGACCUGCGGCUGCCCGCAGGCCCUGAAAAACAGUGGCGGGCUCGCUGUCACACCGAGCGUAGUAGCAUACAUUCUCGCUCAGGGCGUGCUGCGGGUUCCGGCCGUUAAACGACCUUCAUAACCCAAGGUUGACCUCGGAUCAGGUAGGAAGACCCGCUGAACUUAAGC